rnacentral:ncRNA from 1 species
CUAUAUAGCUAGGGGUGCCUCGAGGCUGAGAGUCCGAAAGGUCGGACGACCCUCACAACCUGACCUGGGUAAUACCAGCGUAGGGAAGCCGGUUCCAGAGCGG